GCCUGUGGGGCCCUGCUUCCCACCUCUUAGGCAGACCUGCGGCCUGAGUCUCCCAACUGCUCCCUGAGGGGGGGCCUUGGGGACAGUCAUAGAGGCCGCCACCACCCGUGAGGCUCAGAAGCAGGGAGCGGCUGGGUCCAGAUGAACCAUUUGGCCGAGAACAUGGACCUCUCAGCAUAUGACCUUCCUGGACUGAGGACAGUGAGUCAGCUGUCCGCUGUGUCUCCUGUCCUGGAGAAGUGAGGACACAACCAGAAAGAACAACCCAGCUGUUGAGUGGAAAAGCAAAUUGCAGUAUGGCCUUGCAAUGGAAUGGAAUACUACUCAGAAAUAAGGAAGAAAGAACUAUUGAAGCGUGAAACAACAUGGAUGAUUCUCACAUACACUGUGCUGAGAAAAAGGAGCCAGAUACCAAAGACUAUGUAAUAAUGUAGAUGUGGUGGCUACUAUCUUGGAUCAUGGCCACCGGAGCCACUCCCUGGGAGGAGCAUGGACACCUGCAGUCUUGGUGAAGCAGAACCCCUAUACCAGCCUGAACUGCCUUCCCUGGGAUUUUCCCUGAGAGACAGUUCCAGCUUCAUCACUGAGUGAGGGUUGUUUCCAGGAAAGGACCUUAUCCAUCUGUGCAACGUCCUGGUGAUGACCCAGGAGUGGAGAGCUCUGUGCUAGAAAGAAGAGCUGAAUGAGAAUUCUCCAUCACUCUUGCUUGAGGUGUACCUGAAGAUUUUAAUUAUUCAUGCUACCAGAAUUGGUUCCUUCUUGUUAGAUGGAUACUGCCAAUAAUUACCUUUCCUUAUAUCUUUAGAGUUCUAUUUUCCAAGAAAUAAGAUACUUGAGUUGUUUGAACCCUGCCAAGGGAUAAUGUGGUAAGAAAAAAAAUGUAGGAAUUUUGGAAGGAGAUCUGUACCUCCUUCCUGUACACACACACACACACACACACACACACACAUAUAAAGCAUAUUAUAUAACUCUUUCAUGCUUCCAGCUUUCUAGAGCUUAAUUUUUUCACUUGUGAAAGGGCCAUAGCAACUAUACAAAUUGAUAAAAUGUGUAUAGAGCAUUUAUAUAUACUACCAUAUGAGUAAUAGGCAUUUAAUAAACAUUAAAUGAUGAAUGAAUGGUGAAUGUACCCACUAUGAAGCUGUUCCACACUAUCCUGGUGAAAACUAAAUUCUUGGCAUCAGAUAUUACCUAUUGGGAAUCCAUUUCAUUCCCAGCAUGUCUCUCUCUAGCUUCCCAUCAUAUGAUUUGGGCAGUGUUAUAUAUCUCUGUCAUGUGGGUUCCAUAUUUGUCCUUAUACUCCCAAGUUCUAUUCGCAUAGGUCCAUCCUGCUCUUGCUGUGGUUUCACAUUUGUAGGUUUAAUAACCUGGGAGGCCAUCUGAUGUACGUACAGGAAAACUCACAAAACCUCAGAGUGGAAUAAAAAACAUUUUCGAAGACCCCUGCUGGCUCCGUCAACCUUAAUGAGCUAUUAGAUCAUUAGAGACUCUUUGCCAUCAAUUAGUCAUUAGAUCGGCAACCAUUCAUUGAUGACAGGGCUCUCCUACUUAAAG